AUACGGAGGGUGCAAGCGUUGUUCGGAAUUACUGGGCGUAAAGGGCGCGCAGGCGGUUUGGUAAGUCAGAUGUGAAAGCCCAUGGCUCAACCAUGGAAGUGCAUUUGAAACUGUCAGACUUGAGUACUAGAGGGGAAAGUGGAAUUCCCGGUGUAGAGGUGAAAUUCGUAGAUAUCGGGAGGAAUACCGGUGGCGAAGGCGACUCUCUGGCUAGAUACUGACGCUGAGGCGCGAAAGCGUGGGGAGCAAACUGGAUUAGAUACCCCGGUAGUCC
rnacentral:rRNA from 1 species